GCAAGGCAGACCUUCCAUGUGGACAUGUUUUUCAAAUUGUGCUGUGGAUAGGGAUAGGGCUGUACUCUGUGGCUGGCCAUCCUGUGGUGACCUUAAUCGGCUAGCUCGGUCCUCCAGUGUUGUUGGCAGACGAGCUCGCAUGGCUGGUGCUGGGGACCAGGAUAUCACAGAAGCCACAGACUCUGGAAGUUCCCUUGGAAGACUUUGACCAGGAGCUGACAGGACCUAGAAUCACCUCGGAAGUGAGCCUUUGGGCAUGCCUGUGAUAUGGAUUAAAUUAAUUGAGGAGGGAAGACCUAUUUCAGCUUCAUUCAACACCAUUUCGUGGGCUAGGGUCCUGGA